rnacentral:lncRNA from 1 species
GCUGCCUCCGAAGCCCCAGUGCACAGGGCGUGGAGGAGGGAGACGGCGAGGAGCUUGCGGGCAGCUGGGCAGGAGGGUGCUGCUGGGCAGGAGGGUGCUGCUGGGCCGAUCUGUGAAGGACAGAUGAGCAGGCACUUGGCCGACGGCCAGGGCGCAGGUGGACGGGUCCAAAGGCAGCACUUGAGCACUGUGUCCUCAUGGAAGAAGGAAGACCCGGGAGGCCCCAGAGGUGCAGCGGAAAAUGCAAACGGGGGACAGCUGCUGUGAACUCUUUAUAUUUCACUCAGAAGAUGGUGUAUCUUUUUAUUGCAUACAGGAAUUACUUAUUUGAAAAAAAUAUAUCCUUUCAGGGCGACCUGAGCUGCAAGACAGAGGGGGUGGUGGUGCUCCAGGGGCUAUUGAUAGAGCAUUUGCAUUAA